UUUUUGUUUUUUUUUUUUUUUUUUUUCUAAAAUGAGGGCAGAAAAGAAAGCAAAUACAGAACUGCUUUAUAGAGGCAGCUUAGUUUGUAACUUGAAUUUAUGUGGGAUUACUAAGAGAAUUAACCCAUAGCAUGGCCAACACUUUUGCCUAAAAGAGUGCGCAUGCCUGACCUGAGGAAUCCACCAGCGUGGAAAAGGUCUAACGGAUAAGAUCUAGGUCAUGCAAGGACCCGGGGUUAAGGUCAGUAAUCAGGAAAUGUAGUCAUCUCGGCAGAUACUCAAGUGAGGCCUGGAGCAUCAGAUUUAGAGAGUCAGCAGAGCAGCACCAGAGCAUGGGUUGGGACAGAGGACCUGGAUGACCCUGCUCCUUCUGCCCAGGUAGGCAUCAUCAGGGCCCCCAAGGACCAGCUGCAGCCAGGAGGAGAUCAGAGAGCACGGGUGGAUGUGGCGGUGUAUCUGAGGCAUGUGGGCAGGAGAUGGCUAGAAUUGUAGCCUCUACAAAGAGACCUCAGAAGAAAGUGCUAUCAAAAGAGUUGAGAAAUGCAAUCCAAGCACUCUCCUACCUCAGGGCAUGGUAUUCACUAGUCUCUGCUAAAUUCUUCUUCCCCAGAGAGUCACUGUCUCAAAUGCCCACCUUCCCUGGAAGCAGCUCAGUCCACCACACCCUCAACACUUGUCACUUUAAAUCUCUCCACUUCCCCUGCCAUGUAUUUCAUACUUAUCUUCAUACUUAUCACUAUCUCAUUUAUGCUUCACACCACUGUGUAUCUGUUUAUUGACUAGCCACAAAAAUAAACAUUCCUUAAGAAAAUAAUCUUGCCUUUGUUGUUGCCUGCUGCAUCUUGAGGGCCUAGAUCCAUGUCUGGGAUACAGGAGGAACUCAGUAAAUAUUUGUUUCAUUAAUAUACGAAUAAAUUUCAAAGCAACAGUGUCCAAAUGCCAUUUUUUGUUUCCUGGAGCUCUACAUUUUGUGUGCUGCUACAUGCUGUAUUAUAUAAAUUACGACACGGCUAAAUUGGUAAAUAAUAAUAAAUAUAAUCAAAGUUAGUGGCCCUGAAACUUGGGAAUUAAUUCAAGCAUAAAUACUGCUCAAAAUGCAGAACUUGAAUGUUUUGAUAGUUUAAUAGAACACUGACAAAGCAAACUACAAGAUAUGCUCUAUUUCACAAAGAAAAGAGAGCCCUUGGCACAUCUCGAAAAGACCAGAGUUAUUGGUUAAUCACUGAAACCCAUAAUCUUCUCAGACUGUUUUGUUUUUGUUUUUUUUCUGAUUAAAUUUAGAAAGGUUUUAACUGUAGAACAUCUACAGAACAACUGAUAAGUACCAAGUAUAUAAUCAAAAUCCAUCCUUACAAAAAAAUAUAGGAAUUAAUUUUGUAAACCUCAUUUUCAAUAUAUAAUUCUUCAUUUUAGGUCUUAAGUUCAGAACUUUAAUAAAAAUAUUUUAAAAAUAGGCUAUACAAAAAAAAGAUGAGAACCUGAUGCAUAUGCAGAUUAAAUGUUGUUUUUCUUCCAACUAUAAGCCUAAUUGACACAAGAGUCUGGAAUCAUGAAAACUGUGUUUUAAGUCAAAAUAGGCAUUCCCUAGUUAGAAAAUUAUAUAGUCUCUAACUUUGAAAAUGAAAAACUGUACCAUUUAAAGCAAAAGUAGUUAUUUGUUUGCUUGUUUUAUGUGCCAUUAUACAGAGAUAGGAGAGAAUUCCCACUAUAACUAAGCAUUCGACAAUUAUGUAUAAUGUGCCCACUGCUCAGACCAUGAGUAAGUCCUAAGAUAUUUUGUGAACAUCUGAAUUAAGGCUUCUUGGUUUCUAAUUCAAAAUUUUAGAAUCAACUAUAGUUCAUUUCAAAAAAUACUGGAUAAAUUACUGAAGAAAAAUCCAUAAGAAAAACAUGAGAAAGGAUUCAGCUCAACAAACUGUAACAGUGAAGGAAAAAAAAAAAGGACAGUAAUUGAAAGAAUUAUAACUAACUCAGUCAUGGAUGUGUAGAAAAAUAAACCUGAGUAU
rnacentral:lncRNA from 1 species